GGCGAGCUCGGGAAUUCCCCCAAAAAAAAAAUCGAAUCCGACACCACCGCCACGACGACGACCCCCGACCCGACCGCGACGACGGCGACGGAAAACACAAAAAAAAACUCGGGAAGAUGGACACGAAAAAAAAGAGAGAGAAAAUUAUUAUAUAGGAUCUAUUUUUGUGGGAUUUUUGAUAUCGAGCCCCUCCCCCGCCGCCCCUCGGAGCGAGAAGGAAUUCGGGGAAUUCGGGGAUUGGGGGGGGAUUUUUUUGGGAAUUUGGGGGAGGGGAGGGGGGCGUGGGGUUUGCGCCAAGGGUUUGGUUCGGAUCGGGGCCUUUUUUGCCUCUUUCCUGCCCGGUUUUUUUCCCGUUUUCCUCCUUUUUUGUCCUUUUUCCUCCUUUUUUUGUCCUUUUUCCUCCUUUUUUGUCCUUUUUCCUCUUUUUUUCCCCCUUUAUUCUCCUUUUCCCCCCCUUUUUUCCUCCUUUUCUGUCCUUUUUUCACCUUUUUUCCCCCCUUUAUUCUCCUUUUUCCCCCCUUUUCCCCCCAUUUCCCCCCUUUCCUCCUUUUUUCCUCCUUUUCUGUCCUUUUUUCCCCCCUUUUCCCCCUUUUUUCUCCUUUUUUCCCCCUUUAUUCUUUUUCCCCCCUUUCCCCCAUUUUCCCCCUUUUUCCUCCUUUCCCCCCCCUUUUUCUCUCAUUUUCCCUUUUCCUCCUUUUUUCCCCCCUUUUUCCUCCUUUUUCCUCCUUUUCUGUCCUUUUUCCCCCCCUUUUCCCCCCUUUUUCUCCUCCUUUCCCCCCUUUUUCCUACUUUUUCCUCUUCUCUCCUUUUCUCCCCUUUCCCCCCAUUUUCCCUUUUCCUCCUUUCCCUCCUUUUCCCCACUUUUGUCCUCCGUUUUCCUCCUUUUUUGUUCUUUUCCCCCUGUUUGUCUCUUUUCCCCCAUUUCCCUCCUUUCCCCACUUUUCCCACCUUUUUUGUCCUUUUUUCCUCCUUCUUUGUCCUUUUUCCUCCUUUUUUCCCCCCUUUAUUCUCCUUUUCCCCCCUUUUUUCUUCUUUUCCUCCUUUUUUUGUCCCCUUUUCCUCCUUUUCUGUCCUUUCCCCCCUCUUUUCCCCCCUUUUUUCUUUUUUCGCUUUUUCCUCCUCUUUUCCUCCUUUUUCCCCCUUUUUCCUCUUUUCCCCCAUUUUCCUUAUUUCCCCCUUCUUUGUCCUUUUUCCUCCUUUUUCAUUCUUUUUUCCUUUCUUCCUCCCCUUUUCAUUUUCCCCCAUUUUCCCUUUUCCUCCAUUUUCCUCCUUUUUUCCCCCUUUUUUGUCCCUUUUCCCCCUUUUUCCUCCCCUUUUCCUCAUUUUUCCCCCAUUUCCCCCCUUUUUACUCCAUUUUCCUUUUUCCUCCUUUGUCCUUUUCCCCUUUUUUCUCUUCUCCCCCAUUUUCCUCCUUUUUCUUCCCUUUUUCCUCCUUUUUUCUCCUGUUCCCCCCCCUUUUCCUCCUUUUUUCCUCCCUUUUGCCUCCUUUUUUGUCCUUUUCCCCCUUUUUUGUCCUUUCCCCCCCAUUUUCCUCCUUUAUUCCCCCUUUUUUUGUCCUUUUUCCUCCAUUUUCCUCCUUUUUUCCCUUUCCUCCUUUGUCUUUUUUUCCUUUUUUCCUCCUUUUUUGUCCUUUUCUCCUUUUUCCUCUUUUUUCCUUCUUUUUCCCCCUUUUCCUCCUCUUUUCCCCCCUUUUUUCUCCGUUUUCCUCCUUUCUCCCAUUUUCCUCCUUUUCCCCCUUUUUGUCCUCUUUUCCUCCUUUCUUCUUUUUCCCCUUUUCCUCUUUUUUUCCCCUUUUCCUCUUUUUUUCCCCUUCUCAUUUUUUGUCCUUUUCCUCCUCUUUUCCCCUUUUCCUCUUUUUCUUCCCCUUUUCUUCCUCUUUUCCCCCCUUUCCUCGUUUUUCCCUUUUUCCUUUUUUUUCCCAUUUCCCCCCCUUUUUCCCUUUUCCUUUUUUCCCCUUUUCCUUUUUCCUCCUUUUUUCCCCUUUUCCUCCUCUUUUUCCCCUUUUCCUCUUCCUUUUCCCCCUUUUUUCCCCUUUUCCUCUUUUUCCUCUUUUCCUCUUCCUUUUCCCCCUUUUUUCCCCUUUUCCUCUUUUUCCUCUUUUCCUCUUCUUUUUCCUCUUUAACGCAUUUUCUCCUUUUUCCUUUUUUCAAAUUUUCUCCCCUUUCCCCCCUUUUUCCUCCUUUUUUCCUCUUUUCCUCCUCCUUUUCCUCCUUUUUCCCCCCUUUUCCCUCCUUUCCCUCCCUUUUUCCUUCUUUUCCCCCCUUUUCCUCAUUUUUCUCCUUUUCCCCCCUUUUUCUUCCUCUUUCCCCCUUUUCAUCCUAUUUUCCUUUUUCCUCCUUUUUCCCCUUUUCCUCUUUUUUCCCCCUUUUUUCCCUCUUUUCGUUUUUUCCCCUUUUUCCUCUUUUUUUCCAGUUUCCCCCCUUUUUCCCCCUUUUUCCCCCUUUUUCCCUCCCUCCCCACAUCUCCUCCACUUCCCUCCUGCUCCUCCAUCCCAACCCUCGGGUCCAUCCCUGGUUUUUUUUUCCCCCCCCAUUCCCGGCUCCGGAGAAUUCCCGGGAAAGCAGCAGCAAGAGGAGGAGGAAGCUCAGUCUCAGCUGGAUCUGA
rnacentral:lncRNA from 1 species